rnacentral:tRNA from 1 species
GGGCGCAUGGCUCAGCUGGUUAGAGCGUCACAUUCACAUUGUGAAGGUCAUAGGUUCGAAUCCUAUUGCGCCCA